rnacentral:rRNA from 1 species
UACGUAGGGUGCAAGCGUUAAUCGGAAUUACUGGGCGUAAAGCGUGCGCAGGCGGUUUUGUAAGUCUGUUGUGAAAUCCCCGGGCUUAACCUGGGAAUGGCAAUGGAGACUGCAAGGCUAGAGUUUGGCAGAGGGGGGUAGAAUUCCACGUGUAGCAGUGAAAUGCGUAGAGAUGUGGAGGAACACCGAUGGCGAAGGCAGCCCCCUGGGUCAAGAUUGACGCUCAUGCACGAAAGUGUGGGGAGCAAACAGG